UUAGUUCCGUCAAGGUUUCUUGGUCCUUGCACAAACUCUUCUGACUCAAAUUAACAGCCAUAAGUCUUCUUGCCAAGCUUUAAACUAUGCCAACUUAAGUACAAGAAGCUCUUACUUUUUCUUCUGGUGCCGUUUGGUUAAAAUGAGUCGAAUAUCACGACACGACGAGGAUGUUUAUAGUACAAGCUGUAACAUGACCUUAGUAGAUCUAGAAGAGCUUUGUCCUCAAGUCAGGUACUGUUAUGUUCUGGGCUCACAAUCACGUACUAAAACUACCAUAAAUACCAUUAAUUCAUACUCAAAAUGUGAGAGUCUUUGCGUCUGGGGAGGCCAGAAAAUUUUGCAAGGCAAACCAUUUCAAAAAACGAGAUGUUUGGACCAGGAUGACUAUGAAUGGGUUACAAACACCAGUACCAAACGACACCGACUGUACUACCAGUUCGUACUACACAAUUCUCCUGUGUUUUGCUCGUCGUCGCUCGAGGACAGACAUUCAGAGGGAACCGACGAUAUCAAGUUAAUGCUUUUGUGAGCAUGUCUGGUGAGAGUAGCUCAGUCGUCCCCAAACCUGUGUAUAACGGAAGGAAACACGGUUAUUGGCAUGAUUAGUGACGAUAGCAUACACUUUGGCGGACAUGACAGCCUAACAGAGCAAUGGCGAAAACCGGCUCAAUAACAGACGGACGAUCAAGUUUGUGAAUUUUAAGAUGUGGCAAUGGUGAUGUCUCAAAAACAAGAACAGGGCAAAGCACAUUCACCAUGGUCUGGUAAUGGAAAAACCAGGUCAUUAUUUAUACUAGAAUCUAUAUUAUUUAGUUACAGCAGUUAUUAUUGUAUACGAGCAACAGAAUCUGAUAAAGUACAAACAUUAAAUCUGUGGAAAAGUA